UUGAUGUCAAUAUCGAUGUCAAACAUCGAUAUUUUCGAAGAAUCACAAACAUCGGUUUGUUUUUUUGAGGAAUCAUCGUAUAAAAUGAAAACGGAGGAGAAAAACUAAAACACGUGCGCACGCUAGAAACCCCAAGGGCCAACUAGCGAAACUGACGAAAAUCGACUAGAGGUGGAGAAAAAUUGAUGUCAAUAUCGAUGUCAAACAUCGAUAUUUUCGAAGAAUCACAAACAUCGGUUUGUUUUUUUGAGGAAUCAUCGUAUAAAAUGAAAACGGAGGAGAAAAACUAAAACACGUGCGCACGCUAGAAACCCCAAGGGCCAACUGGCGAAACUGACGAAAAUCGACUAG